rnacentral:rRNA from 1 species
AGCUCCAAUAGCGUAUAUUAAAGUUGUUGCGGUUAAAAAGCUCGUAGUUGGAUCUCGGCAAGCAGGGGCCGGUUCGCUCCAUCGCGUUACUGGCCCAUUUGCUUUUGUUAUUGGCGGGGUUUUCUGGGUGCUCUUUACUGCGUGUCCCGGGGCGCCGUCAGGUUUACUUUGAAAAAAUUAGAGUGAUCAAAGCAAGCUUUUCACGCUUGAAUAUUCGUGCAUGGAAUAAUAGAAUAGGAACUCGUUUGUAUUUUGUUGGUUUUCGGAAAUCGAGUUAAUGAUUAAUAGGGACAAUUGGGGGCAUUAGUAUUCAGGCGGCAGAGGUGAAAUUCUUGGACAGUCUGAAGACUAACUACUGCGAAAGCAUUUGCCAAGCAUGUUUUCA